rnacentral:tRNA from 1 species
AGGGUUUUAGGUUAAAAUAAAAACUAUAAAUUUUCAAAAUUUAUGAUAAAAAGUUA